rnacentral:rRNA from 1 species
AUUGAACGCUGGCGGCAGGCCUAACUCAUGCACGUCGAGCGGAGCGGCGGACGGGUGAGUAAUGGCUAGGACUCUGUCUGGUAGUGGGGGAUAACGUCCGGAAACGGGCGCUAAUACCGAAUAUUAACAGAUGAACCUAGGUCGGAUUAGCUAGUUGGUGGGGUAAAGGCCUCCCAAGGCGACGAUCCGUAACUGGUCUGAGAGGAUGAACAGUCACUCUGGAACUGAGACACGUUCCAGACUCCUAGGGGAGGCAGCAGUGGGGAAUAUUGGACAAUGGGCGAAAGCCUGAUCCAGCCAUGCCGCGUGUGGGAAGAAGGUCUUCGGAUUGUAAAGCACUUUAAGUUGGGAGGCGUUACCAACAGAAUAAGCACCGGCUAACUUCGUGCCAGCCGCCGCGGUAAUU